rnacentral:lncRNA from 1 species
CCACAUUAAUGUUACUUGGCUGUCAAUUUGAAAGUUGAUACAAAUAUUCCAAUAGUGAUUUCUCCUUCUUCAAGCAUUAAAUUCAACUCAAAAUUGGUGUUUAGCUUGAUCUUUAAUUCUUCUAAUACCAAGUCAAAUUUCACCUUGAUCUAACUAGUAGAUCUUCAAAAAUCAUAGAAACUCUAUCUAAUCUCAAAUUGCCAACUUUUGAUACCUUCUUGUACUGACAUCCAAAUAUCUUCUAACUGCACUA